rnacentral:rRNA from 1 species
UGAAGCGGGAAGAGCUCAAGCUGAAAAUCUUCGGAAUUGUAGUCUAUAGGUGCGGACUCGUGUGAGGCCGGGUAUAAAUCCGUUCUUGGAACUGGGUGCCAGAGAGGGUUAGAGCCCCGUCUUUGACUCGGUACCUCACGCGUGGCGAGUACUCACCAGAGAGUCGGCUUGCUUGGGAAUGCAGGUCAAAAUGGGUGGUAAACUUCAUCUAAAGCUAAAUAUUGGCGAGAGACCGAUAGCGAACAAGUACUGUGAAGGAAAGAUGGAAAGAACUUUGAAAAGAGAGUGAAAAGGGCUUGAAAUUGUUAAGAGGAUAAGUGAUUGGAGCAUAUCAUACCUGGCGGGGUCCCGGGGUUGGGACUUGUCCUGGCUCUUACCAUCCCGUCCGGUUGGUCAGCAUCAGUUCUGGCUCGAGGAGAAUGCGGGAGCCGCUGAGCCCUUCGGGGUGAUCGGUUGCUGUGAAACUCGGGGCGGGUCUGAGGCAGAAAGAGCACGCUUGGCGGCCGGCCCUUCUCCCCUGUGUCGUGCGUUGUUACACGCUUCGGAUGUGUGGCGCGUGCGGGGCUUGAUGAGGGGGGUGCAGGACCUGUGCUCUCAAGAUGCUGGCACAAAUGGCUUCAAUCAGCCCGUCUUGAAACACGGACCAAGGAGUCUAACACAUAUGCGAGUAGUAAGGUGGCAAACCUUGGAUGCGCAAUGAAAGUAAACGUAGGUGGGAUCCGCAAGGUGCACCAUCGACCGACCAGGAUCAUUAGUGAAAGGUUUGAGUAAGAGCAUAUUUGUUGGGACCCGAAAGAUGGUGAACUAUGCCUGAAUAGGGUGAAGCCGGAGGAAACUCCGGUGGAGGCUCGUAGCGGUACUGACGUGCAAAUCGUUCGUCAAAUUUGGGUAUAGGGGCGAAAGACUAAUCNAACCAUCUAGUAGCUGGUU